GUAGGUGGCAAGCGUUGUCCGGGAAUUAUUGGGGCGUAAAGCGCGCGCAGGCGGUUCUUUAAGUCUGAUGUGAAAGCCCACGGGCUCAACCGUGGAGUGUCAUUGGAAACUGGAGAACUUGAGUACAGAAGAGGAAAGCGGAAUUCCACUUGUAGCGGUGAAAUGCGUAGAGAUGUGGAGGAACACCAGUGGCGAAGGCGGCUUUCUGGUCUGUAACUGACGCUGAGGCGCGAAAGCGUGGGGAGCAAACAGGAUUAGAUACCCUGGUAGUCCACGCCGUAAACGAUGAGUGCUAAGUGUUAGGGGGUUUCCGCCCCUUAGUGCUGCAGCUAACGCAUUAAGCACUCCGCCUGGGGAGUACGGCCGCAAAGGCUG
rnacentral:rRNA from 1 species